rnacentral:rRNA from 1 species
GACGAACGCUGGCGGCGUGCUUAACACAUGCAAGUCGAGCGGUAAGGCCCUUUCGGGGGUACACGAGCGGCGAACGGGUGAGUAACACGUGGGUGACCUGCCCUCAGCUCUGGGAUAAGCCUGGGAAACCGGGUCUAAUACUGGAUAUGACUCCAUGACGCAUGUUGUGGGGUGGAAAGCCUUGUGCGGCUGAGGAUGGGCCCGCGGCCUAUCAGCUUGUUGGUGGGGUGANGGCCUACCAAGGCGACGACGGGUAGCCGGCCUGAGAGGGCGACCGGCCACACUGGGACUGAGACAUGGCCCAGACUCCUACGGGAGGCAGCAGUGGGGAAUCUUGCGCAAUGGGCGAAAGCCUGACGCAGCGACGCCGCGUGAGGGAUGACGGCCU